GUGGGGAAUCUUGCGCAAUGGGCGAAAGCCUGACGCAGCCAUGCCGCGUGAAUGAUGAAGGUCUUAGGAUUGUAAAAUUCUUUCACCGGGGACGAUAAUGACGGUACCCGGAGAAGAAGCCCCGGCUAACUUCGUGCCAGCAGCCGCGGUAAUACGAAGGGGGCUAGCGUUGCUCGGAAUUACUGGGUGUAAAGGGCGCGUAGGCGGACAGUUUAGUCAGAGGUGAAAGCCCAGGGCUCAACCUUGGAAUUGCCUUUGAUACUGGCUGUCUUGAGUACGGGAGAGGUGAGUGGAACUCCGAGUGUAGAGGUGAAAUUCGUAGAUAUUCGGAAGAACACCAGUGGCGAAGGCGACUCACUGGCCCGUUACUGACGCUGAGGCGCGAAAGCGUGGGGAGCAAACAGGAUUAGAAACCCUAGUAGUCC
rnacentral:rRNA from 1 species